CCUACGGGUGGCAGCAGUGGGGAAUAUUGGGCAAUGGAGGCAACUCUGACCCAGCAACGCCGCGUGAAUGAUGAAGGUCUUCGGAUUGUAAAGUUCUUUUCUAAGGGAAGAAGAAAGUGACGGUACCUUAGGAGUAAGCUUAGGCUAACUACGUGCCAGCAGCCGCGGUAAUACGUAGGAGGCAAGCGUUAUCCGGAAUGACUGGGCGUAAAGGGUGCGUAGGUGGUUUGACAAGUUAGUAGCGCAACUCCGGAGCUCAACGUCGGAACUGCUACUAAAACUGUUGGACUUGAGUGCAGGAGAGGCUAGCGGAAUUCCGGGUGUAGCGGUGGAAUGCGUAGAUAUUAGGAGGAACACCAGUGGCGAAGGCGAAUUGCUAGACUGUAACUGACACUGAGGCACGAAAGCGUGGGUAGCAAACAGGAUUAGAUACCCGGGUAGUC
rnacentral:rRNA from 1 species